GCAGGCUGCAACUCGCCUGCAUGAAGUUGGAAUUGCUAGUAAUCGCGGAUCAGCAUGCCGCGGUGAAUACGUUCCCGGGCCUUGUACACACCGCCCGUCACACCAUGGGAGCCGGUAAUACCCGAAGUCAGUAGCCUAACCGCAAGGGGGCGCUGCCGAAGGUGGGCCGGUAACUGGGGUGAAGUCGUAACAAGGUACC
rnacentral:rRNA from 1 species